UCUCCGUUGGUGAACCAGCGGAGGGAUCAUUACCAGAGUUUUACAACUCACAACCCUUCUGUAAACCUACCUAUCGUUGCUUCGGCGGACUCGCCCCAGCGUCCGGACGGCCCCGCGCCGGCCCGCGACCUGGACCCAGGCGGCCGCCGGAUACCACACAAUCCUGUAUCCAUCAGUCUCCCUGAAUCCGCCGCAAGGCAAAACAAACGAAUCAAAACUUUCAACAAUGGAUCUCUUGGUUCUG
rnacentral:misc_RNA from 1 species